CAGCCGCCGCGGUAAUACGUAGGUGGCAAGCGUUGUCCGGAAUUAUUGGGCGUAAAGCGCGCGCAGGUGGUUUAAUAAGUCUGAUGUGAAAGCCCACGGCUCAACCGUGGAGGGUCAUUGGAAACUGUUAAACCUGAGUGCAGGAGAGAAAAGUGGAACUCCUAGUGUAGCGGUGAAAUGCGUAGAGAUUAGGAGGAACACCAGUGGCGAAGGCGGCUUUUUGGCCUGUAACUGACACUGAGGCGCGAAAGCGUGGGGAGCAAACAGGAUUAGAUACCCCAGUAGUCCCUGUCUCUUAUAC
rnacentral:rRNA from 1 species